GUACAUUAGUGCUUGCGCACGACAAUAGUUCUCAUUACAUUCGAGUGUGUUAUAAAAAUCCUCUGCCAGCCGAAGCUAGCAAGAGGCCAAAGGUUCACAUGGGUAUUGGAUGAAAGUCACCAACGUGCACUUGCCGAAGCCGGCCAGCACUGAAGGCAACGAUUCGCAAUCAGUAAUGAUCCUUCCGCAGGUUCACCUACGGAAA
rnacentral:misc_RNA from 1 species